rnacentral:rRNA from 1 species
GAUGAACGCUGGCGGCGUGCCUAAUACAUGCAAGUCGAGCGAACAGACGAGGAGCUUGCUCCUCUGACGUUAGCGGCGGACGGGUGAGUAACACGUGGAUAACCUACCUAUAAGACUGGGAUAACUUCGGGAAACCGGAGCUAAUACCGGAUAAUAUAUUGAACCGCAUGGUUCAAUAGUGAAAGACGGUUUUGCUGUCACUUAUAGAUGGAUCCGCGCCGCAUUAGCUAGUUGGUAAGGUAACGGCUUACCAAGGCGACGAUGCGUAGCCGACCUGAGAGGGUGAUCGGCCACACUGGAACUGAGACACGGUCCAGACUCCUACGGGAGGCAGCAGUAGGGAAUCUUCCGCAAUGGGCGAAAGCCUGACGGAGCAACGCCGCGUGAGUGAUGAAGGUCUGCGGAUCGUAAAACUCUGUUAUUAGGGAAGAACAAAUGUGUAAGUAACUAUGCACGUCUUGACGGUACCUAAUCAGAAAGCCACGGCUAACUACGU